UACGUAGGUGGCGAGCGUUGUCCGGAUUUAUUGGGCGUAAAGCGCGCGCAGGCGGUUCGCUCCGUCCGGUGUGAAAUCUCCCGGCUCACCUGGGGGGGGGCGCUGGAGACUGGCGAACUGGAGGCAGGGAGAGGUCGGUGGAAUUCCCGGUGUAGUGGUGAAAUGCGUAGAGAUCGGGAGGAACACCAGUGGCGAAAGCGGCCGACUGGACCUGUCCUGACGCUGAGGCGCGAAAGCGUGGGGAGCGAACCGG
rnacentral:rRNA from 1 species